rnacentral:rRNA from 1 species
AUACGUAGGUGACAAGCGUUAUCCGGAUUUACUGGGUGUAAAGGGCGUGUAGGCGGUUUAGCAAGUCAGAAGUGAAAUUCCCGGGCUUAACUUGGGCGCUGCUUCUGAAACUGCUUUACUUGAGUGCUGGAGAGGAUAGUGGAAUUCCUAGUGUAGCGGUAAAAUGCACAGAUAUUAGGAGGAACACCGGUGGCGAAGGCGGCUAUCUGGACAGUAACUGACGCUGAGGCGCGAAAGCACGGGGAGCAAACAGGAUUAGAUACCCUGGUAGUCCGUGCCGUAAACGAUGAAUACUAGGUGUAGGGGGUAUCGACUCCCUCUGUGCCGCAGGUAACACAUUAAGUAUUCCACCUGGGGAGUACGGCCGCAAGGUUGAAACUCAAAUGAAUUGACGGGU